AACAAAUUAAAUGCGCCUGACUUCAAUCAACAUACUCUUAUGAGUUUGGAUAAAGUCUACCUGCAGCAGCAGCCCAGUGCCCUGCAGAGACUCUGGAGGAACAUGGAGCAAUACUUUCAUCUGGUACCACCUGAGACAUUUUGAUCCCCAGCUACAACUUUUAGGAUACAGACUUCAGCUGUUGAGGAUAACUUUCUCCUGGCCAUUUUAGCACUAUACCCCAGGACAACCUGAAGAAUUUGAAAUCUACAUGAUUUACUUUAUUCCUUGUUGUCUUGCAGCAGUGGAACUGGGAAUGUCUUCACUGAAACAUCACAGAAGUAAUCAUACUUGUGUAAUUUAGUGUCUGUAAAAGAGAGAAUCAGACCCAACUUAUAUUUAAAAGAAACUUACUGUGAUGUUAGGCUAUCUGAAAUUCUCUGUAAAAUAAAAUCAAAAGUUCUUUUGC